rnacentral:lncRNA from 1 species
UUUCGUUUGCCAGUUUUUUUUUCUCAGCUCCCUAUCAGCAGAUCAAAUCUGGUCGAGGUAUUUGGAUAAGAUCAUAUACAAAAGUGAAACAAAAUGAGUUUCCACCAUUUCUACAAAGUCCUCAGUUCUCCAUUCUGUUUCUCCUCAAUUCACCUAAAAGUGAGUCAGUAUAAAUGUCCUUCGCCAUCUACAAUGCGAUCUCACCAGCCAGAUCGAGAUGCGUCACUACAUAAUUUGCCUCAAUCAAGAGUACGACUCUGACGACCCCA